UACGAAGGGGGCUAGCGUUGCUCGGAAUUACUGGGCGUAAAGCGCACGUAGGCGGAUUGUUAAGUCGGGGGUGAAAUCCUGGAGCUCAACUCCAGAACUGCCUUCGAUACUGUCGAUCUCGAGUUCGGGAGAGGUGAGUGGAACUGCGAGUGUAGAGGUGAAAUUCGUAGAUAUUCGCAAGAACACCAGUGGCGAAGGCGGCUCACUGGCCCGAUACUGACGCUGAGGUGCGAAAGCGUGGGGAGCAAACAGG
rnacentral:rRNA from 1 species